AAUCAACGCUGGCGGCGUGCCUAACACAUGCAAGUCGAACGAGAAGGUGACUUCGGUCACUGGAUAGUGGCGUCCGGGUGAGUAACACGUAGGUAAUCUACCUUCGGGUGGGGAAUAACGUCUCGAAAGAGACGCUAAUACCGCAUAAUGCAGCGGCACCUAAUGGUGAUUAGUUGUUAAAGCGGGGGAGUCUUCGGACCUCGCGCCUGAAGAGGAGCCUGCGGCAGAUUAGCUAGUUGGUGAGGUAAUGGCUCACCAAGGCUUCGAUCUGUAGCUGGUCUGAGAGGACGGCCAGCCACACUGGCACUGACACACGGGCCAGACUCCUACGGGAGGCAGCAGUGGGGAAUUUUGGGCAAUGGGCGAAAGCCUGACCCAGCAACGCCGCGUGAAGGAGGAAAUCCUUCGGAUNUAAACUUACAUAAGUAAGGGAAGAAAGCUGCGGAUCGAAUAAAGUCCGCAGUCCGACGGUACCUUACGUAAGCCACGGCUAACUACGUG
rnacentral:rRNA from 1 species